UGGCAGUGAGGAGAAAUGAAAGGCCGGUCUUACGGCUGCCUCCCACUCCCUUCCAGAUUCAAUUAGUCUCUUGGUAUGGGACGGGAUGGUAGUAGCAUGAUGUGCAGUUCGGCGAAAGGUUCUCUGAGCCAU
rnacentral:snoRNA from 1 species